UCCAUGCUUUCACUUUACGGACUUCUGUAAAUGCGUUCAACCUUCACAGCUAAGACAUUCAUUUAAAAGGCAUAAGAUGUGUAUUAUUAACGAUUUAAAUUCACUGUGUUAUAGUACAACGAGCGAUAAAAAUGCGUCAGAGUUCACCUUUUACCGGGAAGUUUCAGCCCACAUGAAGCCGUGGGAGGAGAAAAUAUUCACACAAUAAAAACUGGGGUGAGAGGAGGCCCAGGUCCUGGUGCUGCCGCUGUAGGCUGCCAUACUGGUGCACUUUACCUCUCAUUCAAAAGCAACGUCUAACAAACAAGGACGAAAAAUUCAUGGAUCUUCUUCAGGGUUUGGGGCGUGGCUCUUGACCUCCCUGCAACGUCAGGUCCUGUCCCACCUGGAGGAGUGUUAAACGGGGAGGAGGAAUCACUCUCCCAGAUGCUGAAGCACCGUCUGCUGUGAGCUGAGCCUCAUCACCUGCUGCUGCUGCUGCUGUCCACACACACAUAUAAAGAUGCCCCCCUUUUCUGGGUUGCAGUCUCAACUCCGUCGCCAUGGAAACAGCUAAGAUGCCGAGUGCAGGAGAAGUAAAAAUGGGUGUGUGUUGACUGAAGGUAUAGAAAAAAAAAUAAUCUGAAGGACACAUAUAGAUUAAAGGACAGCUGAAGAGAGACCAAAAUAUGGAGAGAGAGAAUGGAGGAAGACUUGCACCAAACAUGCGCCGAGACCAGAAAUUGAUCCCAUGACCGGUGUGAGGACUAGAGCCUCUGCAUAUGAGCGCCUGCUCUACAGGCUGAGCCACACCAGCACCCUAAACUUGGUGGAGAAUAUUUGGGUGGAGGGAGGCAGAAGUCCAAGCUGAGUGCUGGUUGAACUGCAGCCUGCAGGCUCGUUUGACCUCCUCCUCCUUCUUACAGAGAUGCUCCUGCUUCCAUCUCACACACACACUGACCACAGACAGAGACUGAUAUCCACAGCAGACCUUUAAAUGGCUGAGCUGCUCUCAAAGAGGGAUUGAUCAGGUUAAUUUAUUAAAUAAAGAAACAGUGAAUAGCUUAAACUAAGCUUUUUAAGGUUUAAAGUAAUGCUAAUUUCUAACUUCACUUAUUUCUUAUGCCACUGUUUGCAUGAGCAGCCUAUUAAAGAUUAGGCUGCAUAUGCAAACAGUGGUAUGCAUUUUGCUAAAAUCAUAUCCAAAGACAUUUUAUACACUAUUGUUGAAAAACUGCAUUUGUAUGAUGUCAAGAUUAAAUGCAAAAU